rnacentral:ncRNA from 2 species
UCCGUUGGUAUAGUCCGCAGAGUUCUCGCGAUGGGAACGGGAAACCGGUGCCAAUCCGGUGCGGUCGCGCCACUGUGUUCAGCCCAUGCUGUCAGCCAGACCCCUUUCGUCGCUGUGCACGGA